rnacentral:misc_RNA from 1 species
CCGAAUGUUGCCUUGAUGGGUUGUCGCUGGCUUUGAAACUCAGAGCAUGUGCACACCUGUCUUGACUUCUAUUCAUCCACCUGUGCACCUUUUGUAGUCUUUUUGGGGGCUGGGGAAGCAGAUGCAGCUUUACAGCUGUGUUUGUGAUAACCUCCCACUGAAGGCUAUGUUUUUACAUAUACCACUUAGAAUGUAACAGAAUGUUGUCAAUGGGCACUUGUGGCCUAUAUAAAAUCUAUA